AGCAAACUCUGGUUCUGCUCCGCUAAAUGACGGUUUUCCUCCUCCAUGUUCCCCUUCAGCUGGGUCAGCAGCUGCACAGGUUUUACAGGACCAGGUGAUUCAGGAUUGGUUUCAUGAUCAUAAUGAGCAACAGAGUGAAACAUCUGCUGAGUGACUUCUUAAAACCUCUUUGGGAAGUCAGCUUCCACCUAAAUGACUGGAGACUUUCCUGCUUGCAAAACAUGUGCAGCUGCAUUCCUGUGUGUGCCUGGUUAAUACCUGGUACUGGCUGGUGAGGCGGGCAUUGCUGAGGUCCA